ACUGUGGCUAUUCUGAAAGAUACACUCGAGAGAGACAUGGAAGAGAGGACCCAAGUGGGUCCCAAUCUGAACAAAGAUCCAAAGAGCAAGGAGUGCUAAAUCCUGCCAAGAGAGAGACAACGCUUCUCUGCCCGCAACUGUUUCAUCUCGGCACUCAAGGCUCUGCAAACCACUGUGUGGAAACAUUUGACUCAGGGCAGCCCGCGAGAAGGAAGGAGGCAGGAGCGCCUUUGCAGCAUGCGAGCUACAGUGAGCGUGGCCGGGGCUUGGUGACACCCAGUCCCUCCCUUCUCUGCCUCCCGGUCUUGGGAGUCAGUUAAGUGUUAUAAACUCUUAAUCACACCCUUGUUUUCCCAAAUAAAGUGCAGCUAAUAG
rnacentral:lncRNA from 1 species